rnacentral:rRNA from 1 species
UACGGAGGGUGCUAGCGUUGUUCGGAAUUACUGGGCGUAAAGCGCGCGUAGGCGGAUUCGGAAGUCGGGUGUGAAAGCCCUAGGCUCAACCUAGGAAGUGCGCCCGAAACCACGAGUCUUGAGGUCCGGAUGGGAUCGGGGAAUUCCGAGUGUAGAGGUGAAAUUCGUAGAUAUUCGGAGGAACACCGGUGGCGAAGGCGCCGAUCUGGAAGGAAACUGACGCUGAGGCGCGAAAGCGUGGGUAGCAAACAGGAUUAGAUACCCUGGUAGUCCACGCCGUAAACGAUGUGCACUAGGUGUCGGGGGCAUUGACACUCCCGGUGCCGACGCUAACGCAUUAAGUGCACCGCCUGGGAAGUACGGCCGCAAGGUUGAA